rnacentral:lncRNA from 1 species
AACGUUGCGGAAGAUGGCACUAUAAUCAGAAAUCUUGUUGAUCCGACCGGACAGUUGAUGCCGUUUGUGACCUCAGGUUUGCAGGUUGAUGAUCAUCUCUACAUGGUUAGCGUCACCUCUAACUUCAUAGGGAAAGUGCAACUGAGUUAAGCUGCAUAACUUGUGUCGAGAGAAAAUGGUUUCCUCAGGGAAAACUCUGUUCCCGAAUGAUUAAAUCAGUAUUAAGGUGUGUUUAUGUUCUUAUAACCCUGUUGAAUGGGUGUAGUGACUAAUCUUGAUAAUAGCGGAGGAUUGCCCUUAAUAAUAAAUAGUGAACUCAAUCAUGGGUAUUUUAGUAACAUAAAAUUUCAUAUAAAUAUGAUUGUGUGUUCAUCCUACUCAUUAGGGUUUCAAAUAGACUCGCUAAAUACUAUUAAUCUUGGAAUAUUACAUAUAAGCAUAACUGGGUUAAUUUUUGCAAUGGGGCGUUGGUUGAUGUUAGGACUUAGGAAUGAGGAUGGAUCAUCUGAAUUUUAAGGGCGGAUCUAGAACCAAUCAUUAUUUACCUGGGUUUUUUUUUUUUUCCAGAAAAAGUGAUAUCGUGCGGUCAAAAGUGAAUAUGAAAUUUCAUUUUAGGCAAAAAAAUAAAAUAUAUAUCUAAUAAGGGGACAUCAGUACUCUUAUCCUUAAAACUAUUUACACUAAGCAAAACGAUUAGAUACGGAAGGUAGAAAAAUAAAAGGACAAUCUAAAUACGUUGAAUCACCAGCCAAAUGCCAAAUGGAGACGAAUUGAAGAAAUUAGAUUAAGAAUCAAAGCCAUUAAGGAGUAGGAACUAGGAAAGGUGAAAGGGUAGGAAACCAGAAAGAUUAUCCCAUGCGGCUAAAUGGCUAAUGAUACUUCUCUCCUCAACCGCUUCCUCUGUUUGCUGCCUUUCUUCGUUAUGGGUUAUUCCCCCGCCUCACUCACGAAUCGUCCCUAUUUGAAUCAAUUAUUUAAUAAAUUUGAAUCAAUUAUUUAAUUACUUAAAUAAAUUAGAUAACUGAAAGUUCUUCAUUUUUUUUAAAUUUUAAAAAAUAUUAUAAGUAACAAAAAAAACAACAAUUAAUUAAUUGUGCCAAUUAUAUAUAUACUAUAUCUGCUACAAAUUUACUGUCCAAGAGGCUAAGAAAUUUAAUUGUGUCAAUUAUAUAUAUUUCAAUCCCUAAUUAUCUAUCCAAAAUAAAUCCUAAACAAGUAUGACAAAUAAAAAAAAAAUGAUAAUAAGAUGAGUAAUUUUAAUAAGUUAAUAAUAAAGUACCAGUUUUACCUGGAAGAAUCACUGGAAAAAAUUAAACUCGUGAAAAGGAUGAAACUGGCUGGAAGAUUGUUCUCUUGAUCGUGGAAUGAAGAUGAAAAGGGAGGGUCAAAAGUCAAAACACAUAAUUGGGGAAUGCGGCAGUUUUGUAAUUGCGCUG